GUGUAACUAACUUGGCUGGCAGUUUGAUAAGCAACACCUGAAUGACAUAAACAGGAGGUGGUAAAUUCCAAGCACAGCCUGCAUGAGAAGUGCAACUAAUUUUCCAUAACCCAGAUGCCUUUUUAACACAUCCAUGCAGUCUCCAUCUAAGACCAGGUGCUGUUCCCAAAGGAGAAAACACUGCCCUCCAGUGGUCUUCUUUGGAGAAAUGAAAACAGUUUCAGGUGGAAACCAGUCUUCUUGGAAGACUUCAAACUCUGCCAAAUGGUCUGAUUUUACCAUAGAGAUUCUUUGCUGAGGAAUGCAGCUCUGUUAGAGGAAGAAACCAAGCAACAGCUCCUUAGCAUUUAACAAGCAUUUUAAAGACAGUACAAUUAUUUAUUUAAGCGACUUAAACACAAGUUCUUGCCUUUCACUCCCACCCUGUGGCUUACACUGGUAUUACAUUUAUUCUAACAUUUAAAAGUCAACUUUGAAAAACGUAAUAUAAU